rnacentral:misc_RNA from 1 species
UGAAAUGUCUGAUACGACCAUUUCAAAGUUAUGUAAAUUGAAUGCAGCAACAACAGGGGGGGGGGGCGGAGACGCCCCCCCCCUUUUAAAAAUAAAAAUGAUCAAAUCAAGUAUGAUCUUGGUUUGAUCAAACCAAAAACCCCUACCAUAAAAGGGUUUUUGAAAAGAAUGGACGAUAUACAACGUCCAAACGU